rnacentral:miRNA from 2 species
GGGGGUGAGAAACUGGCUUGGCU